UGGGGAAUCUUGCACAAUGGAGGAAACUCUGAUGCAGCGACGCCGCGUGAGCGAAGAAGCCUUUCGGGGUGUAAAGCUCUUACGCCAGGGACGAUAAUGACGGUACCUGGAGAAGCAGCUGCGGCUAACUACGUGCCAGCAGCCGCGGUAAUACGUAGGCAGCAAGCGCUGUUCGGAAUUACUGGGCGUAAAGGGUGCGUAGGCGGCGCUCUAAGUUUGGUGUGAAAUCUCCCGGCUUAACUGGGAGGGUGCACUGAAAACUGGGGCGCUCGAGUACGGGAGAGGAAAGCGGAAUUCCUGGUGUAGCGGUGAAAUGCGUAGAGAUCAGGAGGAACACCUGCGGUGCAGACGGCUUUCUGGACCAUCACUGACGCUGAGGCACGAAAGCGUGGGUAGCAAACA
rnacentral:rRNA from 1 species